GGAAUCUUCCACAAUGGACGCAAGUCUGAUGGAGCAACGCCGCGUGAGUGAAGAAGGUUUUCGGAUCGUAAAGCUCUGUUGUUGGUGAAGAAGGAUAGAGGCAGUAACUGGUCUUUAUUUGACGGUAUCAACCGGAAAGUCACGGCUAACUACGUGCCAG
rnacentral:rRNA from 1 species